rnacentral:rRNA from 1 species
GGACGGGUGAGUAAUGUCUGGGAAACUGCCCGAUGGAGGGGGAUAACUACUGGAAACGGUAGCUAAUACCGCAUAACGUCGCAAGACCAAAGAGGGGACCUUCGGGCCUCUUGCCAUCGGAUGUGCCAGAUGGGAUUAGCUAGUAGGUGGGUAACGGCUCACCUAGGCGACGAUCCCUAGCUGGUCUGAGAGGAUGACCAGCCACACUGGAACUGAGACACGGUCCAG